rnacentral:antisense_RNA from 1 species
UCCGGCCCCGCCGAGCUGCGCCCGCUGCCUUCACACCCCGGACAUCCGCGCCACACUGUUGGAUCCUGGAUCCUGUUCUAGAAGGAGACGCUGAGUUCUCCCCACUCUACCUGGAGCUGCUGAGGUCAAGUGGAGAGUGCCGGGGCUGAAGCCCAGCGAGCCCCUCCCUGUCACACCACACUGCACAUGUGACACCAAAGGUGGCGUUCACCUCUUUUCAGACUUUCUGCGGUUGCCCUCACAUGGGCUGUCUGGAGGUGCACCCUCACUCUUCCUGAGGACUGUGGUUCCUUCUCCAUCACUGGUUCAUUCUGCAUGGUGUGACCCACCACGGCUCUGGAGUCGGAUUUCCACCCAGGUCAUUCAGCUGAGACCUGCGCUUCCCAGGCCUACCCGUGACAUGUGCUCAGUUACCUGAGCUGCUGGUGGUCACUCAUGUGGCUAUAGCCUGCUGCCUGGAGGCCAGGCCUCCUGCUUCCCCCUCUCCUCACCACAGCCUGUUGGGAUGGAACAGGACAGGGGGUGAGACCGUGGUGCUUUCACACUCAGCCUCCAUGGACAUCCUGUCAUUCCCACCCGGGGAGGUCUGGUCCCCACCCUGGGUGUCCCAGCCUAGCUCCGCUACGAGUGUGAGGGCCCAGGGCAACCGCCUAGCCCUCAUCUGCCCCCUGCACUGCAUCCUCCCCACUCAUUCAUUCCACCGGCAUUUAUUGAGCAUCUACUGUGUGCCAGAUGCAAAGAAGACAGUGGGAUAACUGGGUAAGGAGCAUUCCAGGCAGAGGGAGCAGGCAGUGCAAACAUGGGAGAUGCGGUUGCAGUGAGAAGGAGCAGAGGAGACCAGGAGUUGAGGUGACUGCAGAGCGAUUGCAGAGCUCAUAGACGUGAUGAAGACCAGCUGGGCACUGCAGCGGCUCUGGCUUCUGCUGUGAGGGACGGGGAGCUGUGGAGACUCCCUCUGUUUGGUCCCAUUUCCAUAUUGCUGAGCACCUGCUGCAUGCUCUCUGUCCUGCUCAGAGCCAGUACCUGGAUGGAGACUGUGUGUUCUGGG